rnacentral:rRNA from 1 species
CAGCCGCCGCGGUAAUACGUAGGGUGCAAGCGUUAAUCGGAAUUACUGGGCGUAAAGCGUGCGCAGGCGGUUCUAUAAGACAGAUGUGAAAUCCCCGGGCUCAACCUGGGAACUGCAUUUGUGACUGUAGAGCUGGAGUGCGGCAGAGGGGGAUGGAAUUCCGCGUGUAGCAGUGAAAUGCGUAGAUAUGCGGAGGAACACCGAUGGCGAAGGCAAUCCCCUGGGCCUGCACUGACGCUCAUGCACGAAAGCGUGGGGAGCAAACAGGAUUAGAUACCCCCGUAGUCCCUGUCUCUUAUAC